rnacentral:rRNA from 1 species
AGAACGAACGCUGGCGGCAGGCUUAACACAUGCAAGUCGAGCGCCCCGCAAGGGGAGCGGCAGACGGGUGAGUAACGCGUGGGAAUCUACCUUUUGCUACGGAACAACAGUUGGAAACGACUGCUAAUACCGUAUGUGCCCCCCUUUAAAAUUUCAGGAUACAUAAAAUGCCCUGGCAUUUUAUGGGGGGGAAAGAUUUAUCGGCAAAGGAUGAGCCCGCGUUGGAUUAGCUAGUUGGUGAGGUAAAGGCUCACCAAGGCGACGAUCCAUAGCUGGUCUGAGAGGAUGAUCAGCCACACUGGGACUGAGACACGGCCCAGACUCCUACGGGAGGCAGCAGUGGGGAAUAUUGGACAAUGGGCGCAAGCCUGAUCCAGCCAUGCCGCGUGAGUGAUGAAGGCCCUAGGGUUGUAAAGCUCUUUCACCGGUGAAGAUAAUGACGGUAACCGGAGAAGAAGCCCCGGCUAACUUCGUGCCAGCAGCCGCGGUAAUACGAAGGGGGCUAGCGUUGUUCGGAUUUACUGGGCGUAAAGCGCACGUAGGCGGAUUUUUAAGUCAGGGGUGAAAUCCCGGGGCUCAACCCCGGAACUGCCUUUGAUACUGGAAGUCUUGAGUAUGGUAGAGGUGAGUG